UGCUCCCUGAUGUUAGCGGCGGACGGGUGAGUAACACGUGGGUAACCUGCCUGUAAGACUGGGAUAACUCCGGGAAACCGGGGCUAAUACCGGAUGGUUGUUUGAACCGCAUGGUUCAAACAUAAAAGGUGGCUUCGGCUACCACUUACAGAUGGACCCGCGGCGCAUUAGCUAGUUGGUGAGGUAACGGCUCACCAAGGCAACGAUGCGUAGCCGACCUGAGAGGGUGAUCGGCCACACUGGGACUGAGACACGGCCCAGACUCCUACGGGAGGCAGCAGUAGGGAAUCUUCCGCAAUGGACGAAAGUCUGACGGAGCAACGCCGCGUGAGUGAUGAAGGUUUUCGGAUCGUAAAGCUCUGUUGUUAGGGAAGAACAAGUACCGUUCGAAUAGGGCGGUACCUUGACGGUACCUAACCAGAAAGCCACGGCUAACUACGUGCCAGCAGCCGCGGUAAUACGUAGGUGGCAAGCGUUGUCCGGAAUUAUUGGGCGUAAAGGGCUCGCAGGCGGUUUCUUAAGUCUGAUGUGAAAGCCCCCGGCUCAACCGGGGAGGGUCAUUGGAAACUGGGGAACUUGAGUGCAGAAGAGGAGAGUGGAAUUCCACGUGUAGCGGUGAAAUGCGUAGAGAUGUGGAGGAACACCAGUGGCGAAGGCGACUCUCUGGUCUGUAACUGACGCUGAGGAGCGAAAGCGUGGGGAGCGAACAGGAUUAGAUACCCUGGUAGUCCACGCCGUAAACGAUGAGUGCUAAGUGU
rnacentral:rRNA from 2 species